rnacentral:rRNA from 1 species
UACGGAGGGUGCUAGCGUUGUUCGGAAUCACUGGGCGUAAAGGGCGCGUAGGCGGCCUCAUGUGUCGGAUGUGAAAGCCCGGGGCUCAACCCCGGAGGUGCAUCCGAAACUCUGGGGCUGGAGGUCGGAAGAGGAGGGUGGAAUACCCAGUGUAGAGGUGAAAUUCGUAGAUAUUGGGUGGAACACCGGUGGCGAAAGCGGCUCUCUGGUCCGGACCUGACGCUGAGGCGCGAAAGCGUGGGGAGCAAACAGG